rnacentral:misc_RNA from 1 species
ACGAGGUCCCUUGCUGGCCGCCAUUUUCUUUUUCUGAAAAAGACGUGUGUGUGUCCCGGGAGGCGACAUUCGUAAACAAAACCGCUACGCGACACAAAAAACGGCCCUUCCUCGUGGAGCGUCGCCGAAGUGCUAUUCCUCUCGUGGUGCCCAUCGUGGACCCGUGAGCGCCGACGAUGAGUGAUGUGGACAUCGGCAAACUCAAGGUGGUCGAGCUGAAGGCAGAGCUCCAAGCGCGAGGCCUAGAUACAAAGGGCAACAAAGCGGUGCUUGUUAAACGCCUGCAGGAUGCCAUCGAUUCAAGCGAGUCCGGAGAGAACUCUGGACCAGGUGCCACCAUAACGAGCACUGACGAAGGGGACGAGUCGCAGAGUUCGGCCACCAACCAGGGUGGCAGCGGUGACGACGGGUGCAAUCAAGACGACGACUCGUCCAAGCAGGAGGAGGAAGUGAAAGAGGAACAGCAGUUGGAGGAAGAGGAAGACGGCGCCCCAGCCAUGGAGGAGGAAGGGGACGCACCACCAGUCCAGGUGAAACAAGAGCCCAUCGACACGGACACUGCCACGGCUGACACCGCCUCGGUGCAAGUCAAUGGCGAGCAACAGGUCAAGGAGGAGCUGGGCGGAGGCGAUGCCGGCAGAGAUAAUGCCGUUCAGCAAGGGAAACGGAAGAGGUCGCCCAGCCCCCAGAGAAAUAGGGCAAGGUCUCCGCAAGUGAAGGUUGAGGAAUUUCCGGAGGACACCUUCGACCUGACGUUGGUCACGCUCGAUACGUACAACUCAGACUUGAACCUGAGCAUAGACAAGGGGCGGUACGAGGCGGAAUCCCUGAGCCAGCUUGGCUUCGGCCUCAUGUGGGCCGGGGCAAGGGCCACCUACGGCGUCGCCAAGGGCAAGGUCUGCUUCGAGACAAAGAUCACAAAGUACCUGGAUGUCUCGCAUUUGCCCUCGGACGAGCCCACGCCGAACGUCGCUCGAGUCGGCUUCUCUGUUGAGGACACAUCUAUGCAGCUGGGCGAGGAACCGCUGUCGUACGGCUACGGCGGUACAGGUAAAAUCUCGGUGGACUGCAAGUUCAAGGACUAUGGGGAACCCUUUGCGGAAGGGGACGUCAUUCUGGCUAUGGCAGAUAUGGACAGUGACCCCGUGCGGUUGUCGUUUGCCAAAAACGGCCGGGACCUCGGCACCGCCUUUGAGGUCUCCAAGGAGACGCUCAAGGGCCGAGCGCUGUUCCCCCACGUCCUGGCCAAGAACUGUGCCUUUCAGUGCAACUUUGGGCAGCUGGAGGAGCCCUGGUUCAAGCCACCCGACACUAGCUACACAUUCAUCGCCUGUGUACCACUGGAUGAAAGGAUACGUGGAACAGUUGGACCACAGAAGAAGUCCGAGUGCGAGAUGAUCAUGAUGUGUGGCUUGCCUGGCUGUGGCAAGACGACGUGGGCCAAUGAGUACACGAGCAAGUUCCCGGAGCGCAAGUACAACAUCCUCGGCACCAACAACAUCAUUGACAAGAUGAAGGUGAUGGGCUUGCCGCGAAAACGCAACUACUCUGGCCGCUGGGACGUCCUCAUCGACAAGUCCACCAAGUGUCUCAACAAGCUGCUCGAGAUGGCCUCCAAGACGCCACGCAACUACAUCCUCGACCAGACCAAUGUGUACCCGACGGCGCAGCGGCGCAAAAUGCGCCCCUUCGAGGGCUUCAAGCGUCGAGCCGUAGUGAUAGUGCCCACAGAUGAAGAGUUCCUCAGGCGGUGUCAAAAGCGAGAGAAGGAGGAAGGGAAGGACGUGCCGGACAUUGCCGUCCUUGAGAUGAAAGCCAACUUCGUUAUGCCCGAGCAAGGGAGCCUGUUUGACGAGGUGAUCUUCACGGAGCUGCCGCGCGAGGAGGCCGAGCCCCUCGUGAAGAAGUACAACGAAGAAGGCCGCGCGGCCUGCGGACCCCCGCAGCAGCGCUUCCGGCAGGGCGGCUUCGACAACAACCACCGGGGUGGUGGCUAUGGCGGCGGUGGCGACCGUGGAGGUUUUAGGCCUGGCUUCCGUGGUGGGUUUGACCGACGGAGACCGUUCCAGCGAGGAGGACCGCCUGGCGGUCCUGGCUUCCGUGGGGGACCACCACCACCUGGUCGAGGCUAUGGUGCACCACCGGGACCCCCACCAUAUCGUGGCGGUGGAGGCUUCCGAGGAGGAGGCGGCUACCGAGGCGGGCCCCCAGGGGGACCGCCGGGCCCUCCCAUGGGCAGCCGUGGCGGCCCUCCACCACCACCCCCCGGGCCCUCGAUGCGAGGGGGCGGAGACAUGAUGAGGAGAGGUGGUGGUCCCCCACCCCCGAGGGGGGGAGGCGGAGGAGGAUGGGGCGGGCCCCCAGCACCUCGAGGCUACGGGGGCGGCCGGAGCGGACCGCCACUCCCCCACGCACCCCCGCAGGGCCACAUGCCACCCCAGCAGCAGUCCUAUGGCGGCUAUGGCGGCGGUUACAACCAGCAGUACCCUUCAUACGGCCAGCAAGGCUACGGGCAGCCACCGCAGCCGCAGCCCCAGCCGCAGCCACCGUACGGCCAGCAGGCGCCCCCACCCGCCGGGGCCUACGGGCAGCCGGCCGUUCCACCGGCUGCGGCGGCGUACGGACAGGCCGCGCCGGCACCCCAGCAGCAGCCGGCCGCGGCCUACGGCCAGGCUACCCCGCAGCAGUACCAGCAGUACCAGCAGCAGUGGAAUCAGUACUACCAAAACCAGCAGCAGCAGCAACAGCAGCACCAACAGCAGUGGAACCAGUACUACCAGCAGCAGCAGACGUACGCCGCCGGUGGUGGAUACGCGCCCAUGCAGCAGAUUCCGCCCGCGCGAAAGUAGACACGCACCGGAUCAUGGCUACCUCCCUUGGCUACUCCCCCCGUCCUCGGCUUCCUUCCUCUCACGUGCGCUUCCAUGGAAGAUGGACACGUCCCCUCCCCUUUCAGCCCCCUUUCUCAACCACGUGACAUCUUUUUGUGGUGAGAGGUGAGGUGUGGAGCGACCACUGCCACCGGUUUCAGGGGGGGUGAGAUGGGUGUAACCGGGGGUUCCUAGUGGUGCAGCAAGUCUCUGGCACUGAAAUGAGAGGGAAAAACACCAUGCUUGUCAUGUUUUUGCUGCUGUUGCUUGGAUCUCGGGGCUGCUACAUUACUGGUGGCUCUGGUUCCACCAUACUAGCUGCUUCAUUCGUUGACCCUGUUUAUCAUGAACUGUGGUGAGAAAAAAAAGACAUGGCGGCGGCUCUGUGGAGGAUGGGGCCAGGUGUGCUCGUUUGUGUAUUGGAAAUCUGGCUCAUCCCUUUUUUUUUUUGUAUUCGUGUUUUUGCUUGGUCUGAUCAAAGGCAUGAUGCUAAUGAGUCUUGUUGUUUGCUGAAGCCUGCAGCUCCGUUGCGGUCACGAGUGCAGUGUGUGUUGUGUGGGGCAGGUUUUUUCAAUUGUGAAAAGUGUGACGAUUGGGGGAGGGCGACUAGCUUGUUGUGGGAAGGCCCCAGGGGAGACUCUUGAUGGAUGCAAGUCAUUUUGAUGCUGGGCUUGUUUUUGGAGCAGUCACUUCGGACCCAAGUGUUGCCAGGCGCGUCGGCGAUAAGCGGGUGUCCCAUCUUAGUGGUUGUGCGCACUUGGAAAUUGCAUUGUUGGUUGGUUGGUCGGAGACAUUAAAAAAAAGGGGGGGAAGGUCAUUUUCCAUUGUUCAUUUCCUGAGGAAAUUUUUUAAACACAUAUCUUGUUUUCACAUCGGACAGGGCAAAGAAAAUGUUCACACUCGGGUACAUCGUAAGUGACCUUGCCCCUUGGAGUGUCGCACACUUUUCAUGGGGUGGUAGUAAUCAUUUUCAAAGGAAUUGACCUGCAUGCUGUAAUCUAGAACGGUGCCCAUAGAAUAAGCAAUUGGCAUGCUGAAAGUGUGUUGAAGCAUUUUUGCCUACAUUUCUUAAAAUUCGUUAUUGACUGGUUGAAUAUUUUUUUGUUGACAGAUUGGGAGCUUUUUUUUGCUGCCAUAUUUUCUUUUAUUGUAAACUUUUUUCAUUGUGCAUGUUUUCAUUCUAGGACAUUAUACAUUUUCCCCUCCCCUGUAUGUUUAGAGCUGUGUAUUUUUCACUUUCUGUAACACAUCCCAAGGAUGACGUUCUUGUAUUUUCUAAUUUUUCACUCGUCAACGUCUGCAUUUUGGCCACCAAUCCUGGCACCCCAUCUGCCAUGACGUGCGGUUCAUUGAAAUUCAUGCACCGUUUAGCUUGUAGGAAACAAUCUUUGGGUCGGUAAUGUGAAGUGCGAAAUUGGCUUGUAGUUGAAUCUGUGUGGCUGUACUAAGCUGCGAUUGGCUCAGUUGUGACCAGCCCGCUUGUUUCGGCAAGCUCUCUGCCAUUUCUUCUUUUGUCAUUGACUAUCCCAUUAAAGUUUUUAAGAACUUGUGACUGGACGCUGCCCACCCUGCUAUUUGUUGGUCUUUAUUUUCUGUGUGGCUCUUUGAGAGUUGGCAGGUAGUGGAGGAGGGUGGUUGGCGGGGGAGGGGCAUUUGUGGUGGUUGCCACGACGGUGUAUUAACUUGUACAUUCUGAAGAACUUGACUAUAUAUCGAGCAGUUUGAUCAUGCCUCACAAACCUAUUUGUACAUCAACAUCUCUAAAUAAAAGAGUGUAAUAAAAGGAUGCAUUUGGUA